rnacentral:rRNA from 1 species
AUUGAACGCUGGCGGCAUGCCUUACACAUGCAAGUCGAACGGUAACGGGCCUUCGGGUGCCGACGAGUGGCGAACGGGUGAGUAAUACAUCGGAACGUGCCCGAUCGUGGGGGAUAACGAGGCGAAAGCUUUGCUAAUACCGCAUACGAUCUACGGAUGAAAGCAGGGGACCGCAAGGCCUUGCGCGGACGGAGCGGCCGAUGGCGGAUUAGGUAGUUGGUGGGAUAAAAGCUUACCAAGCCGACGAUCUGUAGCUGGUCUGAGAGGAUGAUCAGCCACACUGGGACUGAGACACGGCCCAGACUCCUACGGGAGGCAGCAGUGGGGAAUUUUGGACAAUGGGCGCAAGCCUGAUCCAGCCAUGCCGCGUGCAGGAUGAAGGCCUUCGGGUUGUAAAAUGCUUUUGUACGGAACGAAAAGCCUUCUUUUAAUACAGGAGGGUCAUGACGGUACCGUAAGAAUAAGCACCGGCUAACUACGUG